rnacentral:rRNA from 1 species
UACAGAGGUCUCAAGCGUUGUUCGGAUUCAUUGGGCGUAAAGGGUGCGUAGGCGGCGCGGUAAGUCGGGUGUGAAAUCUCGGAGCUUAACUUCGAAACUGCAUUCGAUACUGCCUUGCUUGAGGACUGGAGAGGAGACUGGAAUUCACGGUGUAGCAGUGAAAUGCGUAGAUAUCGUGAGGAAGACCAGUGGCGAAGGCGGGUCUCUGGACAGUUCCUGACACUGAGGCACGAAGGCCAGGGGAGCAAACGGG